UGAAGGAAUUUCCCAUGGAUUAGUAAAAUGAUAGAAUAUGGGAAGGAAGGCCAACGGCGAAGGCAUUCAUUUAAAUUUAACCAAAGCUAUAACACGGAAGUCCGAGGAGCAAAACGGAUUAGAUACCCGUGUAGUUCGGACCGUCAAUCGUCUCUUAUUAAUUGAGAUCACCUGAUGACACGGCGGCUACGCUUUAAGUCAAAGCAAUAGGCGGAGAUCAAUAAAUGCGGUGGAGCAUGCGGUUUAAUGCGACAAUCCCCGCAAAACCUUACCACUUCU
rnacentral:rRNA from 14 species